rnacentral:rRNA from 1 species
UACAGAGGUCUCAAGCGUUGUUCGGAUUCAUUGGGCGUAAAGGGUGCGUAGGCGGCGCGGUAAGUCGGAUGUGAAAUCUCGGGGCUUAACUCCGAAACUGCAUUCGAUACUGCCGUGCUUGAGGACUGGAGAGGAGACUGGAAUUUACGGUGUAGCGGUGAAAUGCGUAGAUAUCGUAAGGAAGGCCAGUGGCGAAGGCGGGUCUCUGGACAGUUCCUGACGCUGAGGCACGAAGGCCAGGGGAGCAAACGGG